UGGGCUUGACAUGCGGGGUGAAAGCUUGGAAACAAGCUGCUCUUCGGAGCCCGCACAGGUGGUGCAUGGCUGUCGUCAGCUCGUGCCGUGAGGUGUUGCCUUAAGUGGCGCAACGAGCGCAACCCCUAUCCUUAGUUGCCAGCGGGUAAAGCCGGGAACUCUAGGGAGACUGCCGGUGCCAAACCGGAGGAAGGUGGGGAUGACGUCGAAUACGUAAC
rnacentral:misc_RNA from 1 species